GUUCAUAUAGCUUAUAUUAGAGCUUAAUAUUGAAGAUAUUACUGAGAAAUAAUUUUCUGUGAACA
rnacentral:tRNA from 1 species